UCUAUUAUGGCAGAAUAAUUGCAAUGGAUUUAAACCCCAUAAAUAAAGUACUUACUUUUUUUAGAA
rnacentral:tRNA from 1 species